AUUGAACGCUGGCGGCAGGCCUAACACAUGCAAGUCGAACGGCAGCGGGGGGUAGCUUGCUACCCCGCCGGCGAGUGGCGGACGGGUGAGUAAUGCCUGGGGAGCUGCCCAAUCGAGGGGGAUACCAGUUGGAAACGACUGCUAAUACCGCAUACGCCCUGAGGGGGAAAGGUGGGGAUCUUCGGACCUACCGCGAUUGGAUGCACCCAGGUGGGAUUAGCUAGUUGGUGAGGUAACGGCUCACCAAGGCGACGAUCUCUAGCUGGUCUGCGAGGAUGACCAGCCACACUGGAACUGAGCGACGGUCCAGACUCCUACGGGAGGCAGCAGUGGGGAAUAUUGCACAAUGGGGGAAACCCUGAUGCAGCCAUGCCGCGUGUGUGAAGAAGGCCUUCGGGUUGUAAAGCACUUUCAGCGAGGAGGAAAGGUUGGCAGCUAAUACCUGUCAGCUGUGACGUUACUCGCAGAAGAAGCACCGGCUAACUCCGUGCCAGCAGCCGCCGUA
rnacentral:rRNA from 1 species